rnacentral:rRNA from 1 species
GAGCGGCGACGGGUGAGUAACACGUGAGCAACCUGCCCCUGACUCCGGGAUAAGCGGUGGAAACGCCGUCUAAUACCGGAUACGACCCGCCACCUCAUGGUGGAGGGUGGAAAGUUUUAUCGGUCAGGGAUGGGCUCGCGGCCUAUCAGCUUGUUGGUGGGGUAACGGCCUACCAAGGCGAUUACGGGUAGCCGGCCUGAGAGGGCGACCGGCCACACUGGGACUGAGACACGGCCCAGACUCCUGCGGGAGGCAGCAGUGGGGAAUAUUGCACAAUGGGCGAAAGCCUGAUGCAGCGACGCCGCGUGGGGGAUGACGGCCUUCGGGUUGUAAACCUCUUUUACCACCAACGCAGGCUCCACGUUCUCGUGGGGUUGACGGUAGGUGGGGAAUAAGGACCGGCUAACUACGUGCCAGCAGCCGCGGUAAUACGUAGGGUCCGAGCGUUGUCCGGAAUUAUUGGGCGUAAAGAGCUCGUAGGCGGCAUGUCGCGUCUGCUGUGAAAGACCGGGGCUUAACUCCGGUUCUGCAGUGGAUACGGGCAUGCUAGAGGUAGGUAGGGGAGACUGGAAUUCCUGGUGUAGCGGUGAAAUGCGCAGAUAUCAGGAGGAACACCGGUGGCGAAGGCGGGUCUCUGGGCCUUACCUGACGCUGAGGAGCGAAAGCAUGGGGAGCGAACAGGAUUAGAUACCCUGGUAGUCCAUGCCGUAAACGUUGGGCGCUAGGUGUGGGGACUUUCCACGGUUUCCGCGCCGUAGCUAACGCAUUAAGCGCCCCGCCUGGGGAGUACGGCCGCAAGGCUAAAACUCAAAGGAAUUGACGGGGGCCCGCACAAGCGGCGGAGCAUGUUGCUUAAUUCGACGCAACGCGAAGAACCUUACCAAGGUUUGACAUCACCCGUGGACCUGUAGAGAUACAGGGUCAUUUAGUUGGUGGGUGACAGGUGGUGCAUGGCUGUCGUCAGCUCGUGUCGUGAGAUGUUGGGUUAAGUCCCGCAACGAGCGCAACCCUUGUUCCAUGUUGCCAGCACGUAAUGGUGGGGACUCAUGGGAGACUGCCGGGGUCAACUCGGAGGAAGGUGGGGACGACGUCAAGUCAUCAUGCCCCUUAUGUCUUGGGCUGCAAACAUGCUACAAUGGCCGGUACAAUGGGCGUGCGAUACCGUAAGGUGGAGCGAAUCCCUUAAAGCCGGUCUCAGUUCGGAUUGGGGUCUGCAACUCGACCCCAUGAAGGUGGAGUCGCUAGUAAUCGCGGAUCAGCACCGC